UACGUAGGGGGCCAGCGUUGUCCGGAUUUAUUGGGCGUAAAGAGCGUGUAGGCGGCCAGGUAGGUCAGCUGUGAAAACUCGAGGCUCAACCUCGAGACGUCGGUUGAAACCACCUGGCUAGAGUCCGGAAGAGGAGAGUGGAAUUCCUGGUGUAGCGGUGAAAUGCGCAGAUAUCAGGAAGAACACCCGUGGCGAAGGCGGCUCUCUGGGACGGUACUGACGCUGAGACGCGAAAGCGUGGGGAGCGAACAGG
rnacentral:rRNA from 1 species